rnacentral:rRNA from 1 species
AGCCUUAGGAUGUUAGGAGUGGUUUCCGCCCUUUAGUAGCUGAAGUUAACGCAUUAAGCUCUCCGCCUGGGGAGUACGGCCGCAAGGCUGAAACUCAAAGGAAUUGACGGGGGCCCGCACAAGCGGUGGAGCAUGUGGUUUAAUUCGAAGCAACGCGAAGAACCUUACCUGGUCUUGACAUCCUCUGACAACCCUAGAGAUGGGGCUUCUCCUUCGGGAGCAGAGUGACAGGUGGUGCAUGGUUGUCGUCAGCUCGUGUCGUGAGAUGUUGGGUUAAGUCCCGCAACGAGCGCAACCCUUGAUCUUAGUUGCCAUCAUUUAGUUGGGCACUCUAAGGUGACUGCCGGUGAGAACCGGAGGAAAGUGGGGAUGACAUCAAAUCAUCAUGCCCCUUAUGACCUGGGGUACACACGUGCUACAAUGGACUGUACAAAGAGCUGCGAGACCGCGAGGUGGAGCUAAUCUCAUAAAACCGCUCUCUUUUCCGAUUGUAGACUGCGACUCUCCUACCUGUAACUG